AGCUCCAAUAGCGUAUAUUAAAAUUGUUGCGGUUAGAACGCUCGUAGUCGAAUGUCUGUUCACACGGAGCGGUCCUCCCAAGUGGUGCGUACACAGCUCUGUCUGAACACUUCUCUGACGUGAGCGUUGGCAGUUUGAUCUGUUGCGCAUUACCCAGAUCGUUUACUUUGAGGAAAUGAGAGUGCUUCAAGCAGAUAAACGUUAUGAAUACGUUAGCAUGGAAUAAUUACAUGGGACACGUAUUUGAUUUUGUGGGCUUUCAAAUAGGUGUAAUGACAGUUGGGAUAGUUGGGGGCACUCGUAUUUAACUGCUAGAGGUGAAAUUCUUGGAUUUUUUAAAGAUGGACUACUGCGAAAGCAUUUGCCAAAGAUGUUUUUG
rnacentral:rRNA from 1 species